GAUGAACGCUGACAGAAUGCUUAACACAUGCAAGUCAACCUGUGGCGGACGGGUGAGUAACGCGUAAAGAACUUGCCUCACGCAUAGGGACAACAUUUGGAAACGAAUGCUAAUACCUGAUACUGUGUGAGUGCUUUGCGUCCCAUUAGCUAGUUGGAGAGGUAACGGAUCACCAAGGCGAUGAUGGGUAGCAGGCCUGAGAGGGUGAUCGGCCACAAGGGGACUGAGACACGGCCGGUCAGACUACGGGAGGAAGGAGUGGGGAGUAUUGGAGACUGGACCGGAGUCUCAGACGGAACUUCGGUGUGCACAAGAAAGUUUUCGGAAUGUAAAGUGCUUUCAGUUGAGCGGCGGUACCAACAGAAGAAGUACCGGCUAAAUACGUGCCAGCAGCCGCGGUAAUAC
rnacentral:rRNA from 1 species